UGGAUCCUAAUUUGAAGCAGAACUUUUUCUUCCUCAUAAGUUCGUAACCGGCAACCAAUCAAUUAUCAAACUUGUUUGUGUAAACCAAUUCAAUUUUUUCUCCAUCGAUGAAGCCUGCAACUUCAUCUUUAUCGAAACCCUAGAAAAAGAACUCCUAAUCCAAUAAUCUUCUUGAAAAAAUUCGUCGUUCUCAAAGCCCUAAAAUUUUCUAUCUCUCGAAACCCCUGGCGAACAAACUCAAAUCUUUUUCUCUCAAUUUAUGGUAUUUCUGGUUUGAUUUUUGCAACAUCUUAUACCGCUAAUGUUAGUGGUUGUAAUCAAGGUAUGAGAUCUGAAAUAGGGCUUUGCCUUUGAUUUUUUUUGCUCAAGGCCAGAGUCAAACCACUGUGAGAUUAAAGAAUCAGAUGUAAAUUUGAGAAGUAACAGGGGAAAUAAGGUAAAUCAAUCUGUUACAAUAGUCCAUAGUAGAAAUCUAUUUGCUUCGUCCAUAUCUGAAUGCCCCUAGGAGACAAGUGAUUCGUCAAGCAGAGUGGUCAAUGAGCUUAUCGAGGCAACUUUUGUUGUUUUUUACAAAUGAUAAUAAUUGGAAGGAAAAGCUACCCUCAACUCAUAGAUGAAUUGGUAUGGUAUGUUCAUACAUAGGUUGGUCUUUAAAAUCACUUCUCAUUUUGCAGCUUCAAAGUUAUUAAAGAUUCAUUAUUUGGUCUUUGAUUUGACUAUGUAUGGUUGAGAUAUAUCUCAUACUUGUCUGUGUAAAAAAGUACAAAACCUGGUCAAAAAUAGGAAUACCGUAUGAUACCGAAUACUCCUACACCAUGUUUCUUCUUCUUUAAAGUUCUGCGAUAUUGGAAUAGAAGGGAUUGGGUAUUCAAUGUUUAUGCUUGAUUUGCAUAUUAGUAUUAUACUACUCUUCCAGUUCAAGCUCUCAUAAUUAGGCAUGCUGAUAUUCUCUGCCAUAUCCUGAUGUUUUUUGGUUUGGUGGUGUUUGUUUAGAAGGAACGUGGCUUAGGAAUGGAGUGCUGGUGUUGAUUAAGCACAGAAUAAGUCUAGUUUUAAGUAUAAAGUUUCUCAACUUCAGUGUCGGGUUAAUAUUAACUAUUAAGUUCUGAUAUUGUUUGCUAGUUUCUUUUUUCAUGUUAAAGAUGGAUUCACUAUACUUGUAAAACAUAUUUUUUUAAAUGAAAUCUGAGUUCU